CCUACGGGAGGCAGCAGUGGGGAAUAUUGCACAAUGGGCGCAAGCCUGAUGCAGCGACGCCGCGUGAGGGAUGGAGGCCUUCGGGUUGUAAACCUCUUUUAUCGGGGAGCAAGCGUGAGUGAGUUUACCCGUUGAAUAAGCACCGGCUAACUACGUGCCAGCAGCCGCGGUAAUACGUAGGGUGCAAGCGUUAUCCGGAAUUAUUGGGCGUAAAGGGCUCGUAGGCGGUUCGUCGCGUCCGGUGUGAAAGUCCAUCGCUUAACGGUGGAUCCGCGCCGGGUACGGGCGGGCUUGAGUGCGGUAGGGGAGACUGGAAUUCCCGGUGUAACGGUGGAAUGUGUAGAUAUCGGGAAGAACACCAAUGGCGAAGGCAGGUCUCUGGGCCGUUACUGACGCUGAGGAGCGAAAGCGUGGGGAGCGAACAGGAUUAGAUACCCUGGUAGUCCACGCCGUAAACGGUGGAUGCUGGAUGUGGGGCCCGUUCCACGGGUUCCGUGUCGGAGCUAACGCGUUAAGCAUCCCGCCUGGGGAGUACGGCCGCAAGGCUAAAACUCAAAUGAAUUGACGG
rnacentral:rRNA from 1 species